GCAUCCUGGGGCUGAAGUAGGUCCCAAGGGUUCGGCUGUUCGCCGAUUAAAGCGGUACGUGAGCUGGGUUUAGAACGUCGUGAGACAGUUCGGUCCCUAUCUGUCGUGGGCGUAGGAUAUUUGAGAGGAGCUGUCCCUAGUACGAGAGGACCGGGAUGGACGAACCUCUAGUGUGCCAGUUGUUCCGCCAGGAGCAUAGCUGGGUAGCUACGUUCGGAAGGGAUAACCGCUGAAAGCAUCUAAGCGGGAAGCCCCCCUCAAGAUUAGAUAUCCCUCUUCGGUGGAAACACCGGAGCUAAAGACCCCUUGUAGACCACAAGGUUGAUAGGCCAGGUGUGUAAGUCCAGCAAUGGACUGAGCUUACUGGUACUAAUGGGUCGUGAGGCUUGAUCAUA
rnacentral:rRNA from 1 species